UACGUAGGUGGCAAGCGUUGUCCGGAUUUACUGGGCGUAAAGGAUGCGUAGGCGGACAUUUAAGUCAGAUGUGAAAUACCCGAGCUUAACUUGGGUGCUGCAUUUGAAACUGGGUGUCUAGAGUGCAGGAGAGGUAAGUGGAAUUCCUAGUGUAGCGGUGAAAUGCGUAGAGAUUAGGAAGAACACCAGUGGCGAAGGCGACUUACUGGACUGUAACUGACGCUGAGGCAUGAAAGCAUGGGGAGCGAACAGG
rnacentral:rRNA from 1 species